rnacentral:rRNA from 1 species
UACGUAGGGUGCGAGCGUUGUCCGGAAUUAUUGGGCGUAAAGAGCUCGUAGGCGGUCUGUCGCGUCGAUCGUGAAAACUUGGGGCUUAACCCUGAGCUUGCGGUCGAUACGGGCAUGACUGGAGUUCGGCAGGGGAGACUGGAAUUCCUGGUGUAGCGGUGAAAUGCGCAGAUAUCAGGAGGAACACCGAUGGCGAAGGCAGGGUCUCUGGGCAUUAACUGACGCUGAGGAGCGAAAGCAUGGGGAGCGAACAGG